rnacentral:rRNA from 1 species
UACGGAGGGUGCAAGCGUUGCUCGGAAUCACUGGGCGUAAAGGGUGCGUAGGCGGCUGUGUAAGUCUGGCGUGAAAGCCCAGGGCUCAGCCCUGGAAGUGCGCUAGAAACUGCGCGGCUGGAGUGCCGGAGGGGAGAGUGGAAUUCCUGGUGUAGCGGUGAAAUGCGUAGAUAUCAGGAGGAAUACCGGUGGCGAAAGCGACUCUCUGGACGGCAACUGACGCUGAGGCACGAAAGCGUGGGGAGCAAACAGG